rnacentral:tRNA from 1 species
CGCGGGGUGGAGCAGUCUGGUAGCUCGUCGGGCUCAUAACCCGAAGGUCGGAGGUUCAAAUCCUCCCCCCGCCACUA